rnacentral:lncRNA from 1 species
ACCAUUUCAGAAGGCAGUGUGCUCGCUGAUGAAAAGGCCAUGAUCAUUCUCUCAGGAAAUCUGCUGGGUCUGGCUCUGACAGUCCUCAGCUGCUCCAUAAAUCUUCCAUCAGUUCCAUCCAGCCAAAAAGAUGUCAUCACCGUUUUCUCCUAGCAACAAGGAAUAAAAGGGCCAUCUCCAACAAGUCUGUCAGAAAAAUGAGGACCGGAGCCCAAGGUGAUUGGAACAUCCUUUGUGACCCCAGGACCCUGCUACUGUUCCCAGAGCUCUGCCCCUUGACCCUACUGAGGCUCCAACAGACUGGCACCCGAUAUUUCACUUCAGUGAUGUGCAAGUGAUGAAUCCGUCCUCCAUCUGCAGGGCCCAGCAACUUCAACAGAGAGUGUUUGGAAACAAACUGCAUCAGUGAAGAGUGCUUGCAGCCUUUCCAGCCUUUCCUCCUGACACUCCUUCAACUCAG